CCAGGAUGAGGGGCCUGGAAGAGGCAGAGCCUGGAUCUCUGAGGAGGGGCUGCCACAAUUUCUCAGGGAAGGCGGAAGCAACCUUAUCCACCACGAGGGGAUAUGGGGCAGGAGAUGAUUUCUGAGGACCAUCUUCCAGGAACCUCUGUGUGCCCAACGCGGGGCUGGAACUCGCAACCCCGAGACACAGAGUUGCGUGCUCUAGCCAUUGAAGACUUGGGGAGGUGGAGUAGCUUUCUAUCACAAUAACGCAAACAACGCGUAGAUAUCCACGAGCGCCGCUCUCUGAUCUCCUGAGAAAUCAAAGCCUCCAGGACAUGCUGAGUGUGCCACACGUUCCCCGGGGACCUCCAAGUGAGGGAGCGAGCCGCGCCGUAGAGCACAGCCCCACAGAAGGGGAUCUGGCUUGAGCCCGACGUCCUUGAUCCACACCCCGCCUGGGCCACUUGCCAGCUAGUGGUGCGGAAGAAGCCAUGAAUGGGGAUCACGCCUCGAACAGGCUGCUAGGGCUGCGGGAUGGCACAGCCGUGAAUGGGGAUCACGCCCGAGGCACACCGCAAGCUCGCAAUGCCAUGACCGCAAACGAUGUCCUCUGGCCUCUGAGAGUUGCACCCUGGGAAGGUCCACAGGGCCAGUCCUGUCUUCGACAGGCCUGCCGAUUCUCCACCAAGGUGGGCCGUGUCUUCAAGUCGAGGUUGCUGACGCGUGUCCCGCUGGGCCUCUGGGGGUCCUGGGCCGGAAGCCUGGGGUGAGCUACCCUUCCAGGGAGGGUGGAUGUGCUCGGCCGGCCCGGAGCCCAGCAGUACCACGACGAUGCAGGGGGAGCAGUUCCCCUCUCAGCCUGCAGCUAGGGGUGGGGGGAAGGCAGCCCCUCCCUGUUCGCGGCUGCUAGGACUGGAGUCAGGGGGGCGUUCGUCCCCGCUCCCUCAGACCCACUUCUCCUUAUAGCACCAUCCUGCCUUUGUCCCGCGGGGGGUCACCCUUCACCAACACGGGUUUUAGGUGGGGUCUCGGUUCUGCCCUCUGACCUUCUGAAAGCCAUUUGCUCCUGGCACCUGGGAACCCCACCCCGGGAGCUCCUCCCCACCCCGGGAGCUCCUCCCCACGGCCCUAGCGCAUCCCUGCUCACCCACCCCUGACUUUGCAUUUGCUCUGCGUCCUCUUCCCCGGGAUUUCUCUUGCUUACCCGCGCGCCACCUAUGCGUGUUUCUCAUUCCGUAUUCGCUGGUCUUUCUCCCAAACUGGACUGGCAUCCCUGGAGGGCAGGGGCUGGCUGUCAGAGUGGCACCGCCCCCAGCCCCCAGCCUAGGCAGCCCCGCAUCAUGUGACCGGCGCCCAGGGCCACAGCCAUUGGCCCAGCGGGUCAACCUACCAGCCCGGGUCACCGAGGACUUGGCAACAGGCUCAUCAAUGCCACCCCGAGUCUCCUUACUGUCAUCACACGUGGGAGGAGGCCUUCGUGCCCACUAUACGCAACCCAGAAGUCGCCAAUUGACAGUUUAAUACCCUUGGUGGUAUAAAAAUGUGUAACUUUGGGGCGCCUGGCUGGCUCAGUCUGUAGAGCAUGUGACUCCUGACCUCAGGGUUUGAAGUUGGAGCCCCAAGGGGGGGUGUGUAGAGAUGACUUAAAAACAAAAACUUUAGGGGCGCCUGGGUGGCUCAUUCGGGUAAGCCUCCGACUUGGGUUCAGGUCAUGAUCUCACGGUUUGUGAGUUCUAGCCCCACAUGGGGCUCUGUGCUGUCAGCAUAGAGUCUGGUUUGGAUCCUCUUGACUCCCUCUCUCUGCCCCUCCCCCACUCGCGUUCUCCCUCUCUCUCAAAAAUAAACAAACAUGGAAAAUGAUUAAAAAUUGGGGUGCCUGGGUGGCUCGGUCGGUGAAGCGACCGACUUCGGCUCAGGUCACCAUCUCACUCACGAUUCGUGGGUUCGACCCGUGUGGGGCUCUGGGCUGACAGCUCCGAGCGUGGAGCCUGCUUCAGAUUGUGUGUCUCCCUCUCUCUCUCUGCCCCUCCCCUGCUUGUUCUCUGUCUCUGUCUCUCAGAAAUAAAUCGCGUUAAAAUUUUUCAAGGAAAAUAAGUAAUUAAAAAUAAAAGUAAAAUAAAAACUUAAAAAAAAAAA